UCUUAUGCACGAACAAAGAAAGUGGUUUAUGGAGAUAGAAUCUACUCCUAGUGAAAAUGCUGUGAA
rnacentral:pre_miRNA from 1 species